rnacentral:rRNA from 1 species
GACGUAGGGCGCGAGCGUUGUCUGGAUUUAUUGGGCGUAAAGAGCUCGUAGGCGGCUUGUCGCGUCGUUCGUGAAAACUCACAGCUCAACUGUGAGCUUGCGGUCGAUACGGGCAGGCUAGAGUUCGGUAGGGGAGACUGGAAUUCCUGGUGUAGCGGUGAAAUGCGCAGAUAUCAGGAGGAACACCGGUGGCGAAGGCGGGUCUCUGGGCCGAUACUGACGCUGAGGAGCGAAAGCGUGGGGAGCGAACAGG